CUUUUGUGCAUUUUAAGACUUAUAUUGUUCAUUUGCCCUUUCAACAAUGAAGAAAUAUUACUUUAAGUAUUAGAAUGAAUUUGCAAGUUAAAAUAAAUUCCUUCUUCCUAACCCCUCAGAAGUCUGGGCCCCGUAUGCAAAUAGGAUUCCUGGGGCCACCGAAACACCCACUCCAGGGUGGGAGGGCAGCUGAACUGAGAGACCACCCCUCCCACCUCCAUCGCCAAACAAAGGGGUCCUUCAGCCCUCCCCAUAGCACACACACCCCCUCUCAGGGUGGUCCCCACCCUUAGGACGCUCUUUCUAGUCCCACCCCCAUCUCCAGGGUCCACCCUGACCUCCCCACACUCUCAAGUUUGGCCUGCCAGCUGCUGUGAGAGGGCUCAGGGCCAGUGUGGCACCACCUGGGGGCCCAUGGGGGUGAGCUGGGCCACCCCAGGCCCCUCAGAGGCCUGGCUGGUGGCUGUGCAGUGGCCUGAGAGGGCCUUGACGGGGCUCUGGUGCAGACAAGCCUUGAGUGGUUGGAAGUCAAACCACGAUCCCUCUGCCCGAAUGUCCCCCUCUCCACCCGGGUGUCUGUUAUGGGCUGAAUUGUAUCCCCUCAAAAUUCGUAUGUUGAACUCCUAACCCCCAGUGCCUCAAAAUGGGACUGUAUUUGGAGACAGAGUCUUUGAAGUGGUAAUUAUGGUAAAUGCAGUCAUUAGGGUGGGCCCUAAUCCCAUAUGACAGUAUCUCCUUUUAAGAAGAGGAAAGUUUGGAGGUCGGCCCUGUGACAUCCUGGUUGAGGCUGGCAGGCCCUGCUUUGGUGGCCCAGAUCUGCGGGUUCAGAUCCUGGGUGCAGACCUACACUGCACUCUUCAAGCCACGCUGUGACGACAACCCACAUCCAACAUAGAGGAAGACUGGCACAGAUGUUAACUCAGGGAUGACCUUCCCCAAGCAAAAAGACAAAGAAGAAGAUUGGUAACAGAUAUUAGUUCAGAGUGAAACUUCCUCAUCAAAAAAAAAACCAAAAAAAACUGAAAAAGAGGAAAUUUGAACACAGACACGCAUACUGGGAGAGGCGAUGUGAACAUGAAGACGGCCGUCUAUAACCAAGGAGAGAGGAGGGAACAGCCCUUCCUUCACGGCCCCGGAAGGAACCAAGCCUGCUGGCACCUUCAUUUCUGACUUGGAGCCUCCAGAGCUGAGAGAAGACACUGUUCUGUUGUUUAGGCCUCCUAGUCUGUGGUACUUUGUCAUGGCAGUCCCCACAGAUGGCUACAGUGUUCUUGAACACCAGACUAGGCCCUCAGAUAGAAUCCCAAAGAGGUUAAAGACAGGUUUUGGGGCUGACUUGGUGGUGUAGUGGUUAAGUUAGUGCAUUCUGCUCUGGUGGCCCAGGGUUUGUGGGUUUGGAUCCCAGAGGCAGACCUAUGCACCACUUAUCAAGCCAUGCUGUGGCGGUGUCCCACAUACAAAAUAGAGGAAGAGUGGCACAGAUGUUGGCUCAGGGCCAAUCUUCCUCACCAAAAAAACAAAAGAGAGAGAGAGAGAGAUAAGUGUCAGCUUACAAAAAAUGCAUCAUCCAGUUUGAGAGACAAGUCACCAACCUGUUGUCACAAUACAGCCCAGUGGGCCAAAUGCACAUUUUCAAAGGAAUGCAGUUUCCCAAGCUAUAGGAUGUUGGCAAAACUUACAGACAGGGCCAGCUAGAGGCCAAAUCAUGGGGUGUGGUAGGAGUAGGGGUCACAGGGCUUUGCCUUCAGACUCUCCAGCUCCCUUCCAGCCCCAGCAAUCUGCUAGUCAACUACAGGGGAGGGUGCAGAGCCUUAGCGCCACCUCCUGCUCACAGCUGCACUCUGUGUGGAGCCAGCUUCACUCC
ensembl:lncRNA